CAGGCUUAACACAUGCAAGUCGAGGGGCAGCAUGGUCUUAGCUUGCUAAGGCCGAUGGCGACCGGCGCACGGGUGAGUAACACGUAUCCAACCUGCCGUCUACUCUUGGACAGCCUUCUGAAAGGAAGAUUAAUACAAGAUGGCAUCAUGAGUCCACAUGUUCACAUGAUUAAAGGUAUUCCGGUAGACGAUGGGGAUGCGUUCCAUUAGAUAGUAGGCGGGGUAACGGCCCACCUAGUCUUCGAUGGAUAGGGGUUCUGAGAGGAAGGUCCCCCACAUUGGAACUGAGACACGGUCCAAACUCCUACGGGAGGCAGCAGUGAGGAAUAUUGGUCAAUGGGCGAGAGCCUGAACCAGCCAAGUAGCGUGAAGGAUGACUGCCCUAUGGGUUGUAAACUUCUUUUAUAAAGGAAUAAAGUCGGGUAUGCAUACCCGUUUGCAUGUACUUUAUGAAUAAGGAUCGGCUAACUCCGUGCCAGCAGCCGCGGUAAUACGGAGGAUCCGAGCGUUAUCCGGAUUUAUUGGGUUUAAAGGGAGCGUAGAUGGAUGUUUAAGUCAGUUGUGAAAGUUUGCGGCUCAACCGUAAAAUUGCAGUUGAUACUGGAUAUCUUGAGUGCAGUUGAGGCAGGCGGAAUUCGUGGUGUAGCGGUGAAAUGCUUAGAUAUCACGAAGAACUCCGAUUGCGAAGGCAGCCUGCUAAGCUGCAACUGACAUUGAGGCUCGAAAGUGUGGGUAUCAAACAGGAUUAGAUACCCUGGUAGUCCACACGGUAAACGAUGAAUACUCGCUGUUUGCGAUAUACUGCAAGCGGCCAAGCGAAAGCGUUAAGUAUUCCACCUGGGGAGUACGCCGGCAACGGUGAAACUCAAAGGAAUUGACGGGGGCCCGCACAAGCGGAGGAACAUGUGGUUUAAUUCGAUGAUACGCGAGGAACCUUACCCGGGCUUAAAUUGCAGAUGAAUUACGGUGAAAGCCGUAAGCCGCAAGGCAUCUGUGAAGGUGCUGCAUGGUUGUCGUCAGCUCGUGCCGUGAGGUGUCGGCUUAAGUGCCAUAACGAGCGCAACCCUUGUUGUCAGUUACUAACAGGUUCUGCUGAGGACUCUGACAAGACUGCCAUCGUAAGAUGUGAGGAAGGUGGGGAUGACGUCAAAUCAGCGCGGCCCUUACGUCCGGGGCUACACACGUGUUACAAUGGGGGGUACAGAGGGCCGCUACCACGCGAGUGGAUGCCAAUCCCAAAAACCUCUCUCAGUUCGGACUGGAGUCUGCAACCCGACUCCACGAAGCUGGAUUCGCUAGUAAUCGCGCAUCAGCCACGGCGCGGUGAAUACGUUCCCGGGCCUUGUACACACCGCCCGUCAAGCCAUGGGAGCCGGGGGUACCUGAAGUGCGUAACCGCGAGGAGCGCCCUAGGGUAAAACUGGUGACUGGGGC
rnacentral:rRNA from 1 species